CCGUAAGGUAAUAAGGCUCGUUGUAGACUACAACGUUGAUAGGCUGCAGGUGUAAGUGUGGUAACACAUUCAGCCGAGCAGUACUAAUAUGCCGAAUGACUUUAUCAA
rnacentral:rRNA from 1 species